ACAAGGCUUCAUUAAAGAACUUGGAAUGUUGGCAAUGUCAGCAGACAUUCUGAAGUGGAAGGAGGGGAUGUCAUACAGUCACACCCUGAGACAAGAAACUAUCAGCAACUGGUGAUUUCAGAGAGAUGGGGAGUUAGCCUGUCCCAGGAAUGAACCCUCCUGAUUGAUUACUAAUACAAUGUGGUUAGCCCUGAAAUAUUCUUUGUUAUUUUGUAUUUGAUAAACAUGUUUUUAAAGGUACUAUAUUAAAAUAUCCAGACUAUGUAGAUACUUAAUCUUGGAAGCAACAAACAGACAUUUUUUCCUAAAGCAUAUACUUUGGGCAAAUGGGAAUCAAUGAGAAUAGCCAGCAGACCAUUAACUCUAUAAAGCUGUCUUUUACUGUACUCUCACGGCACACACGAUACAGGCUAUUUUCGAUUACACGUGAUUGAACCUCAUAUUUGAGAUGUGCCAAAUUGUUCUGAUGUAAUAGAAACAUCAUGACAGUUAUUUAGUAGAACCAAACAUGCGAAUUCCGUUAUUAGCAGACAGGUUUCUCUUUCUGUCUUGGGCAAUAAUCACCACUACUGCGAGACAGAAAUUGUUUGGACCGUGGUCCUGCAGGAAAAUAUCCUUGUUACUGGACCGUAACACACUUGAGGUUCUUCCAAGCUGGGAUAGCUUUUCCAGUUCUGCGUGCACAGAAAUGCUCAUAUUUUCCCCUAAAGAGAUUUAUUUACAAAUUAUAAGGCGGGUUUCUUUGUCUAACAUGUCUAAUGUAUUUAAAUAUUUUAUAUCUGACUUCCAACCUGAGAACUGCAACCUUUUCCUGGAGUUCUUCUUGGAAGCAUUUCGCGUUUCUGUUUUAUGGAAAUCACACCAUGGAUGAGCUACUUCUCCCUUGAAGCACCAAUAAGCCAUUUUCCUCCCAGUGUCUGUAACUCUUGCCUUCUAAUUUAUUUUUGCCUAGUGUUUUCACUGAUCUCUACUUCAAAUAUACUGAAGACUUAAAAUUCAUAUCAUCUCAACCUGUUUUCUGACCUCUUAAUCAGUUUAGUUCUAUCAGUCAGGCCUUGGCAAUAUUUCAGCUACUUGCUGUGUGUCCUCUUUCCUCUUUCCAUAACUAAUCUCCCUCAGCAUCAUUCGCAACUACAUGAACCAUUUUUUUUCUCAUCUGGUUCUUCUCAGGCUUACCCUUGCCUCUCCGAUCCAACUGACAACCAAAUUGAUACCCCAGCACAAUGUUCUCCAGCUACUCUCAUUUAUUCCUUCCCAGGUAACCAUGAAUUGCUUACACCGACAGUCAGAGCAUCCCAAGCAGAAGCCAGCUCCAUAUCAAGCAUUAUGCUGAUACUUCUCCACAUGCACACUACCUCUCAGCUGCUGAAAUACUCGUGUGUUUUCCAUAACAGCAAUAGUGUGGGCUUUUCCCUCUUUUGCAUCCCAGAUUUUUGUACUGUUGAAUUUGUAUUCUGGUUAUUUCUCCUGUUACCAAAGCCAUCCUUUGCUAUAUUAAAAACUCAUAAUUAUUUUGGAUGCCUCACUGUGCUCACAGAAGAGAUCCUUAAUAAAAUUAAUUGAAGGGCAUGUUUGAUUCAAGACAAGAAUGGUGUAUUUCCCAAACUGGCAACUUAGAGUUUAGAGUGUUUGCCGGACAUUCUUUUUGAGUCUAAAGUAUAGCAAUAUUUUGUUUGUAAAUAUACCUAUAACAAAACUCUCAAAACAUUUUUAAAUAUAAAUCUUACUGUAGUAACCUUUGGGUAUUCAUGUUAAAGUUAACUAAUUUUUGAAAGAUACUUACUAGCACAAGGAUGUACUCUUGCUGAAAGAAAGAUCGAGUCAUGGCAUAGGACACUAGAUUUCCUAUAUUUGCAACUGUAGAUAUGACUAAUAGUGAUGGGGAUUCUGUUCUAUGUUUUAGGCAGUGGCACAAGAGUAAUGUCUUUCCAAAAUACAACUUCAAGAGGAAGCUGGCUUCAAAAGUAACAAAUGAGAGGUUAAACUAAUACUCCGUGUUUUGAGACCAAGUUUACAGAGAUAGACUGUGAGUUGACAAUGUUUUUGAACAGUUACAUGCACACAUGCACACACUUAAUACUUUAUCUGAAAAAGAACACCCAAUGAAACAAGGGAACAAACAAACAACAGCAACAAUAACAAAAAAUACCCAGCAUCUCUUUCUGACUUCUCAGAGGAGAGCGAGUUCAGGGCUGUGAGAAAAAUGAGAAAUUUUGACAUUACAACUAUUAUCUAAAAGGCGAAAGCCCAUUCCCAGUUUUGACUUGACCUACGGUGGUCAUGUCUUACAGUGAUCAUCAUUCUUAUGGCUUUCUGGAUGUUUCAGGACUACCGUGAUGGAAGAUGCUAAGGAGAAGGGUAGGAGCGUGGCAAAUGAUGGAAGAGAAGUGAAGACAAGGACAAACUUGACCUAGUUCAGGACAUGUGUUUGAUCUAAUGAUCUACGCGUCCAUUUUUAAAAUCUGUCCAACCAACAAGAUUAUCUGAAUCUUUGUUUUAUCUAAGAAGGUCGACAUGAAACUCCGAGAUAGUAAAUGCAAGUGCGGCUCGUGGGCGUCAGGCUGGCAACAUCACACCCUAAACAGAAUCACUAAUUUUUAGGAAAUUCUGAAUCCACUCAGUUUUGAAGAGUACUCAGUACAUUAUGUUAAUCAAGUAAACUGAAAAGGAGGUACAUGGGAAGGUUUGGGGAGUAAAUAGAAGAAGGAAAUGACCUACCUAUAUUACAGUUUUAAAAAUUUAAAGUAAAGCAGAAUAACUGAUGGAAUAUCUCUUCAACGACAUUGCUUUCUAAAAUGAUAGAAAGCCCUUCUUUCACAUUUAAAGCAGUUUUUCUGCUACAGCUUUUGUUGUUUGGGAUAAAUAAUUUGCACAAUGCUUACUUCAAAGUGUAGAGGAGCAAAUAGUCACCGAAGUCUUUAACAAACACUUGGCAUUAUUUUUUUCCCUUGCUGUCACCAGUUUGUGUGUGUGCUGAUUAGCAAUGUAAUUCAAGCAGCUAUGAAAUAAAGGCAUAGUACAUGCUGGUCACACACAAUUGAGAACAUAAGGUUCUAUUCAAACAACACAAGUUUCAUAAUGAAAAUUACUGAUAGUGUGUGUCUGUGUGUGUGUGUCUGUGUGUGUGUGUGUGUGUGUGUGUGUGUGCGUGCGCACCACUUCUCUCAAAUAUAUUCAUGAAAAGAUUUGAUAUGCUGUGUCAAUAUACAAGCCAGGACAAGAACCACAGCACUCAAAAUGUAGAAAUGUUCCCUAUUUUGUGUACUUCCAUUCCUAGAGAAGGUUCUAAAACCAAUCACCCAGCCACCAUAAGCCACAUAUGCCCCCAUGAAAUGACUCAAGGAUGAAGGAAAGUCAGGGUGCUCCAGACUCUCCUUAAUGACAAAUUCUAGAAAGAAACAAGACUUACGUGAAUAUCCAGGUCUCUGACUCUUAGCCCCAAAGCUAUAUCUAACUGCAAUGAUGUCUUCACUUUACUUUUUAAAAUUACUUUUUUUUUACAGUACAGCUCUUGUCCCCAUCCAGACACCCCCCCCCCACAGUUCCUCAUCCCAUUUCUCCUCCCCUGUCUCCAAGAGGAUGCCCCCCUCCAGGACUCUCCAUUUCCUGGUGCCUCAUAUUAGGAGGGUUAAGUGAGUCUCCCACUGAAGCCAAACCAGUGGUUGAAUUAGGGAAAGACUGGAAGAAGCUGAGGAAGAGGUCAUUCCCAUGGAAGACCAGUAGUCUCAGCUCCGACCCUGAGAUCUCUCAGACACUGAGCCACCAAGCAGGCAGCAUGUAUGAGCUGGUCCGAGGGCCCAAGGCAUAUAUGACUUCACUUUUUUUUGAGGCUUAAAAAUAUUAAAACCCUUAAACAGCACAAACAAGAGCUAAAAUACAUAUUUUACCGAAUUUAUUUUACAUGCUAUAAAAUUGUGGUAAGAAUAAAGUUACUUUUCUAACACGGAUAUUAAAGCAAUAGUUUUAAAAGUUCUGUUCUGAGCCACUGCAGACUGUGGGACUCUGUUAUAUUACUUCUUGUUUAGGAAAUGAGUCUCCACUUCUGUUGGGCAUUGCAACUAGCAUUGUGCACUCAGAUUCCAUAUGUUGACUGGAUGUGGCGACUUCUAGCAUUCUGUGUUGUCCUGAGGAUCUGUGAUAUACAGAGUGAUGAAGCAUUUAGGAAAAUGUAGUGAUUCAUGUCUAUAAAUCCAUUUUGGAAGUAUGAAGGCUCUGACCAAAUGAACAUAUAUGAUGAAAGUCAACUGAAUCCAGUACACACCACCCCUUCCUUGUCAUUCUUUGUAGAGUCCUGAACAUCUCUCUAUUCAUGUGUAGUAUAUAUUAUAAUAAUUUUAGGCUCAAGUUACUGAAUACCACGCAGACAUAAAACACACUGAUAUUUAUAAUUUUACAUAGCAGGAAGUCUAAAGAUAGGGAAGACUCCAUGAUUGGUUGAUUGAAUGACUAAAAAUAAAAUUUCUGUUUUUCUUCUUUGCUAUCUUCAGCUGUCAAGUGUCUUGAAAACAGAUAUUGGAAAAAGUGAUACCAGCUACAGAAUCUAUGAAAAUCUGUAUCUAAAUAACCCCCAUAAUUUAAUGGCAACUUCUUCUGAAUUAUCUUCACCUUUUGUUUCUCUCUCCAAACCCAAUAUGUAAUAGGAUUUGGGGGAAAGAUAUUUAAUAUUACUUCUUGGAUUUUUUUCUAAAUAGGUAAAGUUUAAAUAGUUAUUGCAUUUCACACUGGUAAAUGAAGAGAGAACUUGGAAAUCACAUAAUCUCAUUUUGCUCUUCAUGAGACCCUUGUGUUGCCAUACCUAAAACUGAUUUGCUAACUCCUACUUCCUAGGGAUACUAAAUGUAACAUGCGAUAUUCUGAUGAGAAAUAAUAAAAUCCAUUUUCUUGUUUGUGAUGUUGUAACAAUUUCAAAAGAAUUUUACAGUCUCUUAAUAAAAACGUGUAAACACAUUUAUUCAUCUUUGUUUUUAUAUAUCGGUUACAAAGUGCUAUGUAACAUCAGAGACAUCAUAGCAAUUUGGCAAUAAUAUAAUGCCAUCUUUGUAAAUUUAUUUGACUAGGUUUCUUUUCCUUCUUUAUUUCUUUUUGCUCUUAGGCUAGUGGCUGCAAUGGUAGAUAAAACAUUGGUUUUUGUAUGAGAGGAAUUUAUUCCAUGUGCCAAGAACACGCAGUCUUUGUUCAGCAUAAUAUAGGUCUCUUUGCCCCCCACCUUGGCUUUCUAAAUUUAUUACCCGAUGAGGUUCCUAUUGAGCCUUCCCAGUGCUGGGUUAUAUUUUUUUCACACUGGGAACAUGGCUGUAUUCCACUGAACAGAAUUUGUAGUAGGAAAGCCUUCCUAAAUAAAAUCGUACAAACCCAAACCUAACACUAAACACCAAAAGAUACAAGUUUUCUUUGAUUUAGACUUUACUGUUUGAAAACGUACAAAGCUAUAAAGCCAGCUAAGCUACAUUUCUUUGCUGUCAACGUGAAAUAUACAGAUGCAGCUAUCUCAUCAUUAUUAUUUUAAACGUGGGGAUAAAUGUGUGUUUCUGUCAUUUUGCAUGAUUUUAGAGGAUGCAUUAUUUGAUAUUAAAACAAUUUAUACCACGUAUCUAAAGUUUUACAAUGCUAGCUAUAUAUGACUACUUUAAAACACAUCACUUAAUUUGGAUUAAUUUAUCCAGAAAAAAAGCAACAAAAUUUUUGCUAUGACGAGCACAAAACAUUAUUAGACUAAGACAGUGUGGGUGACAGACAUUAGGUAGAAAUUGAAUGUGGUUUUAAAUAUUUCUAUACUAUUGCAUAAAUUGUCAUAUAGCACUCAUUAGUAUAUCAUCACUAGCUAAAAUCAUUAUCCUGCUAUUUCAGAAUUGCCCAGUUGUUUUCUACAAUUUGAUUCAUUCCUCCAGCUUGUUUUGUUUACUUUGACACCAUUCGCUUGCUACUGCAUUUCCCCACAGCUGCCUAGUUAAUUGCAAUGGGAAAAAAAUGGGGCCAGACCAUAGAACAAUAAAAUAUUCCCAUUUACUUGAAUUUUAGAGAAAGCACAGGGAUUCAGAUAGAAAGAAAUUAAAAAGUAUGAGCACCGGGCAUAAAAGGCAGAAAUUAGCAACCGACAGAUUGGGAAUGUAUAAAUGGCACUUGCCAAAUAAUUAGAAAUGAGAACCAAUCUUUGUUUUGUCUUCGGCCCCUAAACUACGUAGCCAUAAAAGCUCUUUUAAUCUGUGCUGUAAGUGUUUUCAAAGAUAGGGCUUUCAGGAUAGUGGUGUGAACUUCCUUUUAAACCUUCUCUGUCUUCUUCAGAUCGGCACUCACUGUGUUAGGGAGAACUGUGCGGGUGCAGUCAGAUUCUGAAGGCAGUUCUUAGCAGAGCUUUAGCUCUACCGGGCACGUACUCUAAUGGCCAGAGGGAAAUGUUUUACUGCUACGUUAUCUCACGUCAUUUCAUGUCUUCCAUUUGACAAGGAUCUAAGUAAUUUUAGCCUUCAAAAAUUAUAAACAUGUAUGAAAUUGUCAGAGAAUGAAACCAACCAGGAAAAGUUAGUCUUUUCCACCUUUAUUUUUAUAGGACUGUAUGCACAUGUGUCUUUUUCUCCAUCCGUCCAUUUGUACAUCUGUCUGUAACUUUUCAUAUGGUUCCGAAAGUACAAAUAAUACUAUCAAACCUCCAAAAUCAUUGCUAGCAGGUAUUACUAGAUGUAAAAUACUCCUUCUAAGUGAAAAUGAGGUAUGUUAUUUCAGAAUGUAGGUGAAAAUCAUUCAUAUCCGUUUCAUCAUCAUCUAAGUUCAGGAAGGAAUAACAGUGUUAAUAAAUUAAAUAAGUUAAGUAAGAGUAACCAUGCGUUGGAAUUUCAGGUUCAAGAAUCCAUGGUGAUGGAUUACAUUAUCCCCUAAUUCAUUUUAGAAAAAUGAAGUAGAUGUUUCAGAAUGGCCAAAAAUAGCUUGGGUAUCUAAAACACAUCUUCAACAAUUCCUCUUUGUUUUGUGCUGUAGCGAUAGCUUGCACAUGCCUACAAUAUAAAUUAUCUGAUGGUUUUGACAUAAAAUCAUCUGUGUGGUUUGACGUUAGAAGUAAAAAGGAGAAAGCUACAUACUUCCAUAGUUUGCUAAGCAAUGGUGACCAACCUUCCAAAAUGAAAAGAAAUGAAACCCUUAACUUUGAACUUAUGAAUGAGCCAUUUCCUUGAACUCAAUGGAGUAGAGCCCACACGGAGCAGGUGAAGAGUGUCUGUAGGUAAAUGCAAAUAACACUCAGUGGAAGGACAACCCACCAUGGGAGCUUGCCUUUGGCGUUGACCAAAGGACAUAGAAACAUAUUUCAAUAUCUGCAUUAAUGCGGUGUGGUAUUAUGAAAUAAUUUAAUACUUAGAGUAUAAUGCCAGACAAUUUUUAUGAUUGUGCUCUAGCUAAAUGAAAGGAUGCACCUGAUGCGUGUAUAAGCGUGUAUGUUGUAUGAACAAUGGAGCUUUGUACCUGAGUCCUUGAAUAUCUGCCACAGUGAAGAAUUGAUAUUUUACUAAGGAACACGACAUUUUCUUUGCAGAAAAGUGUGAUUCUGUAUGCCAAUUUGCAUAUUCCCCAUCCCUCUCAUUAGAGGAUCAUUUCAUUUUAGAGUUUUCGUUUUCGUUUUUUAACCAAUGCCCCUUUCCUCUUGUUCCUCAUGAUAAUGGGCUAAAAAAAUUCUGUAUUCUUUUUUGUCAUAGGUGUAGUCCAUAUCCUCUUUAUCUCUCCUGUAAAUUACCUAACUGUAAGGUUUCUAAUUGGUCCCCUUUGCUUUUAUCUUGACUUCACAAGCCAUCUGUUGCUCUAGUUAUCUUUCCCAGUGUAAGGCUCAAAUCACAGAACUUCCCAAUUCAAAAUGACCGCUCGCUGUACCCUGUUCCCCAAAACAAAACAUCCAUAUAGUCAUCAAACACUGACUGACUUUACUUGGUCCUGAUGCUUGCUUUCCAGAAUUUGUCUGUGGAAGACUAUCAAAGCUCAUUUGUUAAUGAUUUUUUUUUUAGCUUGCAGUUGGAUUUUCUUUUGUCUCAUACAAUACUUGUAUGGUAAAUAUGUAUCCGUAUCAGAAAACCGUUCUUCAAUGUCAAGUGUAGCCCUUGCCCAACAUUCUCUGCUGUUUAAAACACUCAUUGUGUCACUGUCACUACAAAAGGCUGAUUAACAUAGGUGAUGUAGACAAACGAGCCCCAGGAUUGGUUGGGACUUCCCUAUGAUUAGAAGAUGUUUGUAGCUGGUGAGCCUAAGCAUGCAGUGUUUGAUUUAGUUUUCAUGUGACCAACUAGGCCUCUGUGGCAAGCUCUGCAGGAUUUUAUUCUUAAAGUGUUCUUCUUUAAAUUAGCUCACUUCAUUUGACCUUCAGGUAAUCUAGUCCGAGUGUUUUGUUGUUGUUGUUGGUUUGUUUGUUUGUUUUUGGUUUUUUUCAGAUUCACACAUCUUUCAGUCAGUGAGCACUUAUGAGAUAAUUCCUCAACCCAGUUUCAAUUUUGCAAAUUUUCUUUCAGUUGUGCUUGAGUUAACACCGGUUAUUCUGCUCUAUUUUUAACUCAAUAUUUCAAAGCUGUCAGACUUUUAGUAUUCUUAAUGACCUUCAACUUACUACUAAGCUUAGCCUGCCACCUCUUCUCUCUUCUUAGCGCUCAGUGUGCCAAGCUCUGGGUUCCAUGCUGCCAGCCCACAGCACUAUUGCCUGAAAUCUCCUUCUGCUGCCCUUGAUUUAAAGUGGGAAUUCUUAUCUUGUCUCCAUUGGUUUGUCCCACUUCCUCCUAUUUUAAAUAUUAUUUUACCUUGUUUAUCUCUCUCUUGACUGUACACUAAAGUUUAGCUUAUGCCCGCCAAUGAUACAGAGAUGUUUCCACAUGUUAUCUCAUAGCAAGAAACAGAAGGGCACUAUCAUUAGUGUUUACGUUGGAAGGUAACAUUAGGCCUUUGCCCACAAAAUCUCAUUUCUAAUUUUUCCAAAGCUAUUAGUGAUAAAUAAGAAAAUAUUGUUGCAAAAUGAAAUACUAACAAUAUCAAUUCUAUUAAUUUUAAGUUAUAAUAAUAUACUAAUGAUUUUAUUUAUAAAAUCUACUACUAAUAAAACACAGAUAAUACACCAGUGGCAUUGAAAAAAAGUUUCUUGUAAAAACUAAAUAACAUUAUAAUUCAGUAUCAUAAUUAAUAUAAGCCAAGUACCAUGAUACUAAAAAAUAGGUAGAAGGCAAAAACAGAAAGUCAUCUAUCUACAUGUUAGUUAUGACUUUAGUAAUAAUGUCAAAAAGAUUUAUUGCAGCGAGUCUAUGACAUUACUUCAUAUCUACCAAAAGAACCAACACAGUUCAUGAGUAUUCUUGAUGUUUGUCUAUAUUAGUUGUGUUUACACUAUGCAUAAUGUGCUAGAUGUUAUUAUACAUGUCUCCUCCAGCUACUCUUGAGAUUAGAAAUAGUAAGCAAAGUAUCUCUGCACUUCUUUCUAGCUGAAAUCAUAGCAUUGUGGAGUUCUUACAGAUAAACAUUGAUGUCAUUAUCUUAACAUAAUACAAAAACAUGAAGCAAAUAGAAAUGUACAAUUUAUAUAAUUAUAGCACUAAUGUGUUUUUAUGGAUUAAAUAAAGAUGUCUGAUGUUUGAAUGUCUUAAGAAAAUGUGAGUAGUGAACAAGUUUGGCCAUGAUGUGUGUGUGUACGAUACAUUGGUUUCACUGGAGACACUGUUGUCUGGCUCAUUAGUGGAGCCUUGAACUGUAAAUUGGGAUGUUAUGAUGCUUGCAAGCCAAGGGAAAACCAUGUGUCUCACCUUCCCAUCCCAGACACUCCCAGCUGUGUUUUUGUUUCACAUUGAUCACAGAAGAGACGAAGAAUGCAGAAGUUGAUUAAAGGCAAAUUUGAAACAAAUUACUUUUAAGAGUGAGGUAAAUGGCAGUCCUAUUGGGAAGCGAUCACACUUUCCAAUACUCCCUAGGAGAGAUAAACUGAUUUAAAUGUCUUUGGUUGUUUUAUAAACAGUACCUACCCAGGACUAUAUAGCAUCUUAAAUUUAAUUUUCUUAGAAAGGUUGAAGGCACAGGUAUGCAUGUGUGACUGUACAAUCUCUCCACAUUUAUAUUUUUAUCAAAAUGGUUGUUUAAAGGUCAAUGUAUGCGUAUUUCUCCCUGCUUCUAGGACAAUAGACACAGAGCUUCAUUUGUAGAAAUUCAGAGUGGAAAAGAUUCAGGUUAUCUAAAAUUAGGUUAGACAGUCCUCAGCAAGGAAAUCAAAGCUGUCUUAUAUUUAGUUCUAGUGGGACAUCCCACUGUGCAACGAUAUAACCAUUGUGUGCCCUCCUGGGCCAAAACGAAACAAGAUGAAUUUCACGAAGCACAUUUUUGGGAACAUGUAGGUAGAUAUUUUAUUCAAAGAGGGACAUAACUGAUUUUCCUUCUACCAGAUAGUAUGGAGAUUAUUUCUAAUUUUUAGUUAAAUUUACAAGUCAGGAACUUUUCAACAUAGUCUUAGCCUAUUAGAAAGUUUAAUUUUUGCUACACCUAUAUUAAACAAAUGUUUAUAAAACAAGAGAACACUUAUUUAACAGUGAAUGUUGUGCCUAUCAUUUAUAUACAAACAUUGACUUAUCAUAUGUAAUUCAUAUAACAUUACUCCUUUGCUAAUAAUUUAAUUCUUUUUAUGUUGGAGAAUUCAUGAAAGAACUUCAGAUGAAGAACAAGGACAGUCCUUGGGCAUGCUCAGAGAUGAGUGUUGUCACUUGUGUAAUGGGAGUUUUGUGAUUUUUCUGAAGGAGUCCAAGCCAUAGUCACCACAGUCUUUCCUUUUUAUCCUCCCUUAGGCUACUUCAGCAAAAGAAACAUUCUCUCUUCUUUCUCCUCUCUUUCCAUUCUUAAUUUUCUCUAUUUUUUUAUACUAUAACUUUUUCUUCCAUUUUGUUUAGUCACCCUGUUCAAACACACCCAAAUUCACUUUCUCUCAGGAAUGAUAAUCUAUUGAAAACAAAAAAGGGAAAAAAUGUUCAAUGAAAAAGGAAAGUUUCUCAUUCAUAUUACUGUAUUUAAAUUAGCAUCAGCAUUAUUGACUGACUCUAAUAAAUGAGAUGAAAAAAUAAAUAAAGUGAAUUAGAAAAUGAUAGAUUUUUAAACAAUGUAAUUCCCUGACAGAAGUGGUUAUUUUUCUUUCUAAGAAUGGAGACAAGGUAGCAUUAAUUAUUAAAAUUUCCUUCAUUUUGCCUGGUUAGAAAAUGUGGGAACGGGGUUGGGGAUUUAGCUCAGUGGUAGAGCGCUUGCCUAGGAAGCGCAAGGCCCUGGGUUCGGUCCCCAGCUCCAAAAAAAAAAAAAAAAAAGAACCCCCAAAAAAAAAAGAAAAGAAAAUGUGGGAACUGUGAUUUGUUCUUAUGAUUAUUUGGUAAAGGUUAUCUCAUAUGUGUUAGAACUUUCCAUUUAAAUAUUUGCAGGCCUAAGGAGAUUAAAAACAUGUAAACCAUAAAGUGAAGUGUGCUUGGUUUUCAGGUUUAGCAGCUCUGAUUGUUACAGAUUUCCAUAGCUGUUGUUGUAAAAUAUAAAAAAUUAUAAGUGUAACUUUUACCCCGCUAGGUCCUGCACUGCGGUGGCCCAUGAUAUCCGCUAGAUAUCUUGGCAGAAACACAUCCCAACUCCGCGGCAGUGACCCAGUGUCUCCAGCCACAGCACACUUUCCUACGCUCAAACUGUCACAUAAGUAACACAUAACACAAUAGCCUUUGACCCAAUGACAAGAUAUAAUUGCCCAGCUAAACAUACAAAGCCCAAUACACAUCCAUCCCUUAAAAACAUUUGUAACAACCUGUAAAGGCACAGCAUGGAAUCUUAACAUCACCCGCCAUAUUGUCCUGCCACGGCUUCUCUCCCUCUCCCUCCUGUCUCUUCCUCCUUUCUGUUCCAGUCUCCUCCUCUUCCUUCAAAGUUUUCUCCCACCCAUCCUUCCUUCUCAUCCAAUGACAGGCCUCCUUCUAUCCUGUACCUGCCCUCACCUGUAUUUUACAAAUUAAAUGGGGAGAAGGUUCUGGUGAAAUCACAUGAGUCUUGAGUAAGUGACUAGGCAGCUGUCCUUGAGGCCGCGGAAUUAGCAUCAAAAUACAGAUAACUCCAGGGCAAACCGCAAGAAGUAGUGAUGCAGAACUUUGCUGCCCUGCAAACUGAUUGUGGUUCUGAUGAUAAUUCCAGUUUAUCCAUAUGUCAACCUUGCAUCUAGAAUGCCUUUCCAGCAAGUGUGUGUGGAGAGAGCAGCCUAGUGGACCACUAUCACUAGGGUUUGUCUUUAGUUUCUGUAUAUAAUGAUGUAAAACUAGGAUUAUACCUUAAAAACAGCUCCUAAUGUGAAGGUGUAUUGUGAUCAUCUGCAAUUUUAUACAAUAGACAUGAACUAUUUAUUAUCUAACCCACAGAAAUUUACUAAGGCUUUAUAUGAUUUACAAAUUGAGAUCUAACAUUUCAUUAAUUAUGAGAAGUAAUGUUAUGUUAUUUUACAUCUCAUUAAAGAAAAUGUUGCCAACUGAAACAUAACAAAAUUUUUGGAUAAAUUGAGGUCCAUUUUAUGAAGUAUAAUGAACAUAUACAUUAUAAGGUAAAAUAACUAUGAAAUGACUUGCCAAAUAUUUCUACAUAUGGAUAUUUCAACCUUUCUAAAUGAUGUUUCUUUGUGGAGUCAUUGGUAACUUUUGUAAUUUUUUUCCCCAUUUGUGUUUGUUCCAUCAAAACUAGGAAAGCAACAUUGAGUAUAUGAGAAUCUAUUAUUCACAAAGCAUUCCUCUUAGCCUCUGUUUUACAUCCUGCAAGUUUCUCUGUCUCUCAGCCCAUCCAUACUUUCUGCUUUUCAUUAAAAAAAAGAUACUUUUCUCAUAUAUGAGCUAUAUAUCCUACCGUGGUGGUUUGAAUAGGAAUGGCCCCUGUAGACUCAUGUAUUUGGAUUCUUUAUUAUAUAUAAGUAUACUGUAGCUGACACACCAGAAGAGGGCAUCAGAUCACAUUACAGAUGGUUGUGAGCCACCAUGUGGUUGCUAGGAUUUGAACUCAGACCCUCUAGAAGGGCAAUCAGUGCUCUUAACCACUGAGUCAUCUCUCCAGCCCAUGUAUUUGGAUUCCUGACCCAUAGGGAGUGGCAGUAUUAGAAGGUAUGGCAUUGUUGAAGUAGGUGUCACCUUGUUGUAGGAAAUGUGACUCUGUGUGAUGGACUUUGAAUUCUCCUAUGCUCAAGGUAUGCCCAGUAUGGCUCAUGGUUCCUGGUCGCCUUCUACUGCCUCCAUAUCAAGAUGCAGAACUCUCAACUACUUCUCCUGUACCAUGUCUAUCUGCCAUGAUAAUGGAAAAAUUUCUGUAGCCAGCCCUAAUUAAAUAUUUUCCUUUAUAAGAAUUGCCAUGGUCAUGGUGUCUCUUCUCAGCAAUAAAUCCCUAACUAAGAAUCUAAAUAAUAGUUUCCCACCCUCUAAUUCUCACAGUUUCUCCUCACCUCCACUUCUGUCUGGAUCCACUCCCUUUCUGUCUCGCAUUAGCAAGGAAUUGAUUUUGAGAGACAAGAACCAAUCCAUGACAAAAAAUGUAUAAUAAGAUGAAAAAAAAGCCUAUUGCAUUGAAGUAGGACUUGGCAGCCCAACCAGAGGAAAAGGUGACAGGAUGAGACAAAGAAGGUUCAGACCUAGUCAACCUAAGGUUGGACUAAGCUAAUGGCUGUAAUGCAUGCACAAUUGACCCGGUGAAGACUCAUCAAGGUCUUGUGCUUGCUGCUGCCAUUCCUGUGAACUCACAUGCUCCUUGCUUACUUGGUUUGGAAGGCCUUGUUCUCCUGAUGUCUUCCAUUCCCUCUGACUUUUACAAUCCUUUCACCAGAUCUUCCAAGGGUUCCCUGAGUUGUAAAUGGAGGGAUUUUAUGGAGACCUCCAAUCUAGGCUCAUCUCCACACAAUGUCUAGCUGUGCAUCAGUUCCUCUCUGAAGCCUCUCUGAUGAUGACUGGAUAAGGCAGUGAUCUAUGAGUAUCGCAGAAUAGGAAUAGGAAUAACAGAAUAACUUUAUUGAGCUUUUCUCUAGACUCACAGUGCUUGGUUUUUGGGGUUUUUUGUUUGUUUGUUUUUGUUUUUGUUUUUGUUUUUUACCUUAGGUCUCUUGAAUAUCUUGAACACCUAAUCAGUAUAAGGACUGGGUUCCUUCUCAUGGAAUGAGCCUUACCUCCAGUCAGACAUUUGUUGGUUACUCCCACAAGUUCUGCCCAACCAUUGCUCUAGCAUAUAUUACAGACAAGAGAGAAUGUAGGCAAAGCUUUGUGCCUGGGUUGUUGUCCAUGUUUCUUUUUCAGUAGCCUGUGGAGUAUCUGUCUGCACCAAAGAGAAUAGAAUGUGGGAAGGAAUGCUCCACAUCAACGCCAGCUCAACUUCUCCUUACUUGCAAAUUCUGAUGUUGUCAUUGGAGAUUUUGUAAAAUUGAGCUUUAACCAUUAUACCAAAGCAUAUUUAGAACUUUUAAACCCCAAUUCCAUCAUCAGUGGUAUGAAAUUUCUUUUCCUCAAAAAAUGUUUUUAAUUAAUUACAUAAGUCAUUUUUAUUUCAAAGCAUCUUAUAAAGGGUUAAGUUACAAUACAUCUAGCUUUAUGUAAUAUAUUGUGAUUAUGUAGAAAUUAUCCUCAAUAACCAACAGAUUGGGAAAAGAUCUUCACCAAUCCUACACGGAAUAGAGGGAUAAUAUCCAAAAUAUAUAAAGAACUCAAAAAGUUAGAAUUCAGAGAGCCAAAUAACCCUAUUAAAAAUGGUGUACAGAGCUAAACAAAGAAUCCUCAGCUGAGGAAUAUCGAAUGGCUGAGAAGUACCUAAAGAAAUACUUAACUUCCUUAGUCAUCAGGGAAAUGCAAAUGUAAAAAACCCCGAGAUUCUACUUCACACUAGUCAGAAUUGUUAAGAUCAAAAACUUAGGUGGCAACAGAUGCUGAACAGGAUGUGGAGAAAGAGGAACACUCCUCCAUUGUUGGUGAAUUGCAAAAUGCUACAACCAUUCUGGAAAUUAGUUUAGAGGUUCCUCAGAAAAUUGGACAUUGUACUACCUGAGGACCCAGCUAUACCUCUCCUGGGCAUAUACCCAAAGGAUACUCUAACAUACAACAAAGACACAAGCUCCACUAUGUUCAUAGCAGCCUUAUUUAUAAUAGCCAAAAUCUGGAAAGAACCCAGAUGUCCUUCAACAGAGAAAUGGAUACAGAAAAUGUGAUACAUCUACACAAUGGAGUAUUACUCAGCUAUCAAAAGGAUUGACGUCAUGAAAUUCAUGAGCAAAUGGAUAGAACUAGAAAAUACCAUCCCAAGUGAGGUAACCCAAUCACAAAACACACACACACACACACACACACACACACACACACACACACACACUCACCCAUGGUAUGCACUCACUGAUAAGUGGAUAUUAGCCCAAAAGUUCGAAUUACCCAAGAUAAAAUCCACAGACCACAUGAAACUCAAAGAGAAGGACAACCAAAGUAUGGAUGCUUCAGUCCUUCUUAAAAGGAGGAACAAAAAUAUUCAUAGGAGGGACAUAGAGACAAAGUUUGGGGCCGAGAAGGAAUGGCCAUUCAGAGCGUGCCCCACCUGGGUAUACAGUCCAUUUAUAUACAGCCACAAGAACUAGAUAAGACUGAUAAAGCCAAGAAAUGCAUGCUGAAUGGAGCCUGAUACAGUUGUCUCCUGUGAGGCUCAGCCAGAGCAUGUCAAAUACAGAAGCAAAUGCUAGCAGCAAACCACUGAACCGAGAACAAGGUCCCUAUUGAAGGAAUUAGAGACAUGAUUGAAGGAGCUGAAGGGGCUUGCAACUAUAUAAGAACAACAAUGCCAACCAAUCAGAGCUCCUAGGGACUAAACCACUACCCAAAGACUACACAUGAAUGGACCCAUGGCUCCAGCCUCAUAUGUAGAAGAAAAUGGCCUGGUUGGGCACCAAUGGGAGGAGAAGCCCUUGGUCCUGCCAAGGCUGGAUCCCUCAGUGCAGGGGAAUGUCAGGGGUGUGGGAAGGGGGGAUUGAUUGAGGAGGGAGAACACCCUCAUAAAAGAAAGGGGGGAUGGGAUAGCGGGUUUAUGGCCAUAAAACCAGGAAAGGGAAUAACAUCUGAAAUGUAAAUUAAAAUAUCCAAUUUUUUUUAAAAAAAGAAAUUAUCGUUGAGGUGAACUACCACAUUUUUCUAAAUCAGAAGUCAUAGAGGAAUCAUACAUUAAAAAACCAAAACAAAAAACUGUUACAAAUAUCCUACACAUCUGAAAAUUUCAUUGUUUAAUUUUUUUUGGUAAAUUUAAGCACAUAUAUAUAUAUAGAGAAAGUAGACUCCUACACACUAGUUACCCACAUUCAACAUUUUUCUCAUUUUCCAGCUUUUAAAGUCUGUUUCUUGUUUUUUCUAUUCUGGGAUCAUUUCUCAAGGGACAGUUAUUCUUCAUCUCCCUUCACAAGGCCUUGCAAAUCCUAGGGGAGUGAUGAACUACAGAGCUGUCUCCUCUCUAAGUAGGUUCUUUGGAACAUUUAAAGACAUCACUACACAUUGUAUUAGUUCCCUAAAAGUACAGCACCACACAUUCCUAGGAUAGAAGUACCUUUUAAACAAAAUGCUACCCAAUUACUGUAACGUAAUAGUUUUCAAUACCUAAUUUAUAUUUAUAUUCCCUUGAUUCUUAAGAAUGUUCCAUGAAACUUCCUUUCUUCUGUCUCUUCCUCUCUCCUAUCUCCAUUCCUUCCUCUUUCCCAUGCUACUCUCUUUCCUUCUUUUCUUAUGAAUCAGAAGAAAACCACAGUGGUAACAGCUAUCGAGGGGUAAAUGGGUACUUCAGCAGUUCCCACAACUUCCUGCUUUUGCAGAAGCCUUGGGAUUGGGUCCCAGCGUCAAGAUGAUGGCUCACAUCUGUUACUCAAGCUCAGUGUGAUGAUCGCUGUCCUUCCGUAGCACCGCAUGCAUGCAGUCCACAGACAGGAAAGCAUACACAAUACUCAGAUGCAAUCGUGUAUCAUGUCUCUACAGUAUCCUUUGCCCACUACCUUUUUAAGAGACCAAAUAUUAUGUCUAGCUUUAUUGAACAGAAAAAGCAGGGUAGUCAUUCAGUUGGCUUUAGUCACAAACCUUCCCUUCUAUGAUUGGUGGCGUAACUAGUUGCUGAACCGGUCAGACUCAAUGGUACAUGAGAAGAUGACAAUUUGUUUUUUUCUCAUUAUUGUCCUUUGAAACAAACUCUGUGGGACUAUUUUUCACAGCCCCAAGUUGUACUUGGUCCUUUGAUAAGGUAUUAAUUAAUUGGCUUGUUUUAUUCUUGGUAUUGAGCAGUGUGGUUUAAUCUAAUUUAUGUCUUUAUUUUCUCAUCCUAUUUUAAGGGCUCUUUCCUUUUCCAUGUUCCCCUUAUACUCUGUCUUGGCCUAUUUCAUUCCAAUACUGGGGACCAUACUUGUAUUGUCGUUUGUUUGCUUAGUUUGCAUGAUUUUACACCUUUUUCUCUUACGUUUUGUUCCACCUUUGGAUCUCUAGUGUCAGACCCAGGCUACAUGGUAAUAAGAAGAGAGAGCAUGUUUGAGUGUUCCUGCCACUUGCUCUUCCUCUGAGUAUAGCUCUGUGUCUCAGCGGCAGAUUCUCGAAUGAAUAACGUUGGAUUUCUCAGAGGUUCUUCAACACUGAUAACUUCUUCCUAUUGCUCUCUAACUGGCAAUUUCCAGUUUUCCUCAACUUCUUGUAUUAAGGAACACUCUACUGGAAAAACCAAUGUCACAAUGAUGUCUUUUCAGAAAUCCACCAGGCCAUUAAGAAAAAGCCUACAUUAGUGCUAGAUCCCCCAUCCAUGGGGAGUAUAGGCCUCCCUCAUUGUAGCCUGCUCUCGAUGGUCGGCACUAGAUACCUUACAAAGAAGGUUUCUAGAAGUAUAGCCUCUCUCACCUCUAGAAUACCCCCAAUCAGUUAAAGUUGGAAGAUGAAGUUUUGCUGGGUAUAAGAAGGGAAGGUAGCAACUCUAAGCUGGUUCCUGUACCAAAUUCUCAUAAAUCUAUGUCCUCCUUACAAUCUUAAUAUUGUUUUAAACUUAUCCUGGAUCUGCUAUCUACUGAUCUCUGAAGAAAGGGCUUAUUAAAAUCAAAAUACAAUGUCCAUAGGAUCCUGGUAUAUUAUUUAUCUCAAUAGCUCUGUUUCCUCAACCAAAAGUCCAUUCCAAAUAGCCAGGUAGCAGUCUGACAAGCCACCUUUGAUCAUUCACUGCAAUCUGAUCAAGUCUACAUAUCUGGACUAAAUAAAUAAUAUUCAAAGUACAUACACCAUACCUUGGUAGAGCUUAGAUACAUGUCAUCUUGUGGGCAAUUUACAAGAACUGGAUGGAUGGGGAGAGAGAGAGAGAGAGAGAGAGAGAGAGAGAGAGAGAGAGAGAGAGAGAGAGAGAGAAAGAGAGAGAGAGAGAGGCAGAUAGAAAUGUAGGUAGGUAGGUAGGUAGAUAGAUGUAUUCUUACAUAAAGUAACAUAAUUCUUGCAUUUAUUGAAUUUAAAAUUUAGUAAUGAACAUAUACUAAGUAAAAACACAAUAAAUACUAUAAUAGAAACCCUGUAGAAGUAAGUAUGGUGAAUAACGAAUGCAUAAGAUUUAAAAAAGAAAAGAAUCAGCCAUUGAAAACACUUUUCAAUUUUUUAUAUAUAGCCUCUCUUGCUAAGGAGGCAAUUAUUCAACAAGUAUAUUUAUGUAUGAAGAACACUCAAAGAUUAGUUAGCCAUCAAUCCAUUCAUAGGAAUAGGAGGUAUCAUUUUUCAUAAUUGAAAAUGGGACACCCAAUAUGGUUCUGAAAUUGUAAUAUUCGAUCAUUUGACAUCUUUCCAAAAAACAGUCCUCCAAAAGAAAUCCCAACCUAUGUCAAACAUUCGGUAUCUGAUCCUUUAUGAGAAUUUUAUUCAGAUCCCAAUAGAGAAACAAAAAUAUGAAUUCUGACUUUGACCUUGUUGUGUACUUAUUUGGGCCAAAUUACUGAGGCCUGGUAGUUAUUUCUAUAUAUCCUAUCUUAGUAGAGAUUAGCCUACAGCUGAGAGGACAAAUGGCACAUCCUUCAAAAAAGAAGGAAGAUUUGAGUAGGGAGAACAACUAUAAAAAGUAAGAUCAAGAGCAAAGAAAACUGGCUUACUGCAUGACACAUACUUAAAAUGCAUAUGCUGGCUUAGCAUUCACAAUGUCCCCAUCAUUUGUAAAAGAUUAUUGAAAGAUGUGAUUGUAUUGCAGACAAGGUCAUUGCUUACUUGAUUUUAUUUAAUAAAUGAAAUACUUAAAGGCAUGUCGUGCAACCAUCUGCAAUAGACUUUGCCAACUCAAGGAUGAAUGGUAGCCAUUCUGUGCUCUAAUAUCCUGGAGCCAUAAUGUAUACUUAUGGGAGCUCUCUCUCCUCAGUCUCUGUAAUGUAUCCUUGAUUAGAGACCAUAUAGUUCAUAGCUAAGAUUCAACAAUGAAAAAUAUUAAUGAUUAAUAUCAUUAGUGAAGAUUAAUAUCAUGAGAGAAGAAAUUGGUUUGUCAUGAGAAAAUUAAUUUCUUGAUUUUUCUUGAGUGUAGUUUCCCUCCUUGUGUUGGAGUUUUUCUCUUAUCCUCUGUAGGCGUAGUAUAGUGGAAAGGUAUUGCCUGGAUUUGGUUUUGUCAUGGAAUAUCUUGGUUUCUCCAUCUAUGGUAAUUGGGAGUUUUGCUGGGUAUAGUAACCUGGAUUGGCAUUUGUGUUCUCUUAAGGUCUGCUUGACAUCUGUCAAAGAUCUUCUGGCUUUCAGAGUCCCUGUUGAGAAAUCUGGUAUAAUUAUGAUAGAUCUGAAUUUAUGUGUUACUUGACCUUUUUCCAUUACCACUUUUCAUAUUCUUUCCUUGUUCUGUGCAUUUGUUGUCUUAAUUAUUAUGUGACAAUUUCUUUUCUGGUCCAGUUAUUUGGAGUUCUUGUAUGUUUAUUGGCAUCUCUUUCUUUAGGUUAGGGAAGUUUUCUUCUAUGAUUUUGUUGAAAAUGCUUGCUGGCCAUUAAAUUAAGAAUCUGUACUCUCUUCUAUACCUAUUAUUCUUAGGUUGGUCUUUUCAUUUUGUCCUAAAUUUCCUGGAUGUUUUAAGUUAGGAGCUUUUUGAACUUCAUAUUUUCUUUGACUAUUGUGUCAAUGUCUUCUAUGGUAUCGUCUAUAUGUGAGAUUCUCGCUUCUGUCUCAUAUUCUGUUGGUGGUGCUUGCUUCUGUGACUCCUGGCCUCUUUUCUAGGUUUUCCAUCUCAAGGGAUGUCUCCUUUUGUGAUUUCUUUAUAGCUUCUAUUUCCAUUUUUGAUCUUGGAUGGUUUUGUUCAGUGCCUUCACCUGCUUGAUUGUGUUUUUCUAUAAUUUUAUUGGAUAUUUUAUGUAGUUGCAUUUCGAAUGUUAUCUCCUUUUAUCUCCUUUCCCAUCACCCUUCUCCUGCCUCUAUGAAGAUGUUCCCACUCCCACCCACUCACUCCCACCCACCCACUCCCACCUCAGUGCCCUGGCAUUCCCCUACACUGAGCCAUUGAGCCUUCAAAGGACUAAUAGCUUCUCCUCCUAUUGAUGCCAGACAAUGUUAUUCUCUGACUGGAGCCGUGGGUCCCUCCAUGUGUACUCAUUGGUUGGUGGUUUAAUCCCUGGGAGCUCUGAUGGGGUCUGGAGGUUGAUAUUGUCGUUCUUCCUAUGGGUUUGCAAACCCCUUCAGCUUCUUCAGUCCUUUCUCUAACUCCUCCAUUUGUGUCAUCUUGGUUAGCUGUAUCUUUAGGGCACUGGCAGAGCCUCUCAAGGACCACCCAUAUCUAACAGCCUAUGCUCAGUCUUCUUUAAGGGUUUUUUUGUGUUUCCUGUUUAGGGGCUUCUACCUGGAUUUUCCUGUAAUUCUUUUUUUUUUUUUUGAAGACUUAUUAUUUAUUAUAUACAAGUACACUGAAGCUGUUUUCAGACACACCAGAAAAGGGCAUCUGAUCUCAUUAUAUAAGAUUAUAAGCCACCAUGUGGUUGCUGGGAUUUGAACUCAGGACCUCUGGAAGAGCAGCCAGUGCUCUUAACCGCUGAGCCAUCUCUCUAGCCCUUCCUGUAAUUCUUUAAGGGAGUUAUUUAUGUCCUCUUUAGGAUACUCUUAUCAUUUUCAUGAGACGGGAUUUUAGAUCAGAAUCUUGUUUCUCAGGUAUGGUAGAGUUUCCAGGGCUUGCUGUGGUGAGAGAACUGGGUUAUGAUGUACACAAAUGGCAUGGGUUUCUGUUGCUUAUGUUCUUGCCCUUGCCUCUUAUCAUCUGGUUAUUUCUGGUGUUAACCGGCUUUGCUUUCUGACAAGAACGUGUCCCUCCUGUGAAUCUGGUUACAUUGGAUGUCCUUGGUUCAAGUUGUCCCUAGGUGAGGAAAGAGUUCUAGAGAAUGAUGUGUGAGCCUGGGAGUUCCAGAACUCCUGAGGGUCAAGCUGUCUCUUGGUAUGGGUGGUGGGCUGGAGCACAGGAUUUGCUCCCAGGCUCAGAUAUGAACUAGAAGGAAGGUGUCUCUCCAGCAGGAUUGGAGGUCCUGUAUCUUCUGGGCCCUAGAAUCCCAGUUAGGCCAGGUAUUGGGGCAGGAUGGGGACUCAACUGUGAACUUGAUAGUUUCAGAACUCCUGAGAGUCAAGCAGUCCCUGGGUGUGGGUGGUGAACGGGUGGGGCCAGAGCACAGGAUCUGCUCCUAGAUGCAGUUUCAACCUGGAAGGAAGGUGUGUCUCAAAUAAAGAAAUGGAUUACCAAUGGUCAGAUGGGUGUUAUACACCUGAGCCCAUGUAUUUGAACUGUAAAAGACAAUGGAUUUUGGAAGAUAAUCCAUUUCUUCAUAGAAAAAUACAGCCAAAAAUAUUGGCCAGCAAACAAAUGGGGCCCAACUUGUCUGAGGCCAUGAAGAGGUAUGAAAUAAAGGAGAAGAAAGCUGACCUUACAGAACCACCAUGACAGGAAAAGAAAGUGCGGAGGCUGGGGAGUAAUGUUCUAAGUGCACAUUAGGGGCACAAGGCAUGCGGUUGGAUUGUUUGGUUUCUAGAAAUCUAUUUGGCUGCUAAAGGAAGGUUUGCAUUGCUAGCUCAUCUCUGCCUUUCCUAGUUACUCUGUACCAUGUAAUGCUUUGCCUGAGUUAAAGAGGCCUAGGGUAUCAUCCAAGAACUCUGAUGCACACAAUUUCUUUGCUGGAUUCUUAGAAAUCCUAUCAUUUCUGUACAAGAAGGGUUUAACAUCACACUCAACUGUGAGCAAAAUCACUCCUGUAGUCUAGCUGGCAGAACAGAAAGAAGGUCUCAAUGCCUUGAAAUUUUACUUGUUUGUAAGACAGUGUACAUUAAUUUCUAGGUAGAUUCAAAGAUGCAUGUAACAUCAGAGAUUCCUUUAAAUGACUUUUGUAAAUCUCUUCAUUCUUACCUAAAUUUACUUGCUGGAGGAGUUCAAGUUAAGCAUAUUAAAUUUGUCCUGUAUUCCAAGCUGUGACACGGCCGAUACAACUGGCUGGAUUAUGCUUGGCUUCCAAAUGGUGGCUUCAAAAAUACCCUCUCCCUUAAAAUAUCAGUGUUCUCAUAUCUUUUUAUUAGCGAUUGAUGGAUUCACAGACUACUUCUUCCUUGAAGAAGCAUCUCAUGAACUGAAAACAUAAAUACAGAAGCAAUGGCACAGGAUUCUCAUAAAGAACCAGAAACUUUAAAGGUAAAGCCGUAUAACUACAGAGUUCAGAGUCCUUAGAAUCCUAGAGUUGCUCAUUCCAAAAGGCUUCAUAAAUUACCAAAAUCAUUGUCUUUAAAAUACUAAUGAGGAAUUUGGAAAGAGGUAGGGUUAUGUGUGCUCAUUAUUAAAUGAUUUCCUCAAAGAAUCCCAAACUUGAGUAACAUCUCCUGACUCUCAACUACCUGUCUUUUGCCUUUGAGAUAAAGAGUAGGGAAUGGAACAGUUAUCAAAAGAUUAAUAAUCUGAGAGUAGCUUCAAGGAUUAAAGGGCUUGUGCCUUGAAUAUGAUGCCCUUGAACCACCUCAUGGGAGGCUUGUCCUAACUCUGGUCCUCACACAAAUAGACUAGUAAAACAAAACAGGAAAUAGUGGAAUACAGGCUCUCUUCAGUUGGAACAUGCCUACAGACUUCCCAAUAUGUUUGCCCCUUAUCAUACCCUUCCUUUUCCCUGUUCUCCUCCAUCUCUCCCUCUUUUUCACCUUUCUACGCCCCAGUUUUCUUCCCCUUCCAACUUUUCUUCUCUCUUCCUCUUUUCCUCCCUCUAUCCCUCUACCCAUCUCCUAUCUAUAACUUAAUAUGCAUAGCAUACGCUCUCUCUUACAUACUCCCAAGAAGUUGUUAUAGACAUACAUUUAAGUGAAACAGCUCCUUAUAAACCUUAAAAAUAAUAUUGUACAUCACCUCAGAGUAGUAAUUUUCUCACCAGUAUAUAGUUAAGGAAAAUAUGGUGAUCAAAAUACUGUUUUCUUUUAACUGUUAGUAUUCCAGGAUUUUAGAAAAAUACAGUGUCAGUUUGUAGAAUGAGUAGGCUUUUUGUCAAGUGAUAUUUUACAGAAUGAAAUAAUUAAAAUAUUUACUUGAAAUACUUGAAAGGUAAAUCUUUAUAUGUAUGUUUAAUUUACAUGAUCAUUAUUAAUUCAGCAAUUAUAUAUGAAGAUAUAUAUAUAUUCAAGUUUUUCUUUCAUUCCAAAUAAUAUUUAUACACUGUGCAUUUUCAACAGAAAAGCUAGAAAUGAUUGUAAGAAUGGAAAUCUUCAAUCAUGGUGCUACUGCUCACUUGAGAAAGAGUGACUUUUCCUUUGCUCACUGCUGGCUUAGUUUAAGGGUAGUUUUGUUGGUUUCCUACUGGUUUUGUAACAAAUCACUGCAAAUUUAGUAAUAACACACAUGACAAAUUUAUUAUUUUCCAGUUCUAUAAAUCAAAUGUGAAAAAUAUGUCUUAGAGGUCUAAAAUCAAGGUAUUGGCAGAGCUGUCCUUAGUAAAAAUUCUAGAAGAGCCUGAAUAUCCUUGUCUUCCAGAUUCUAGGGCCAACUAAUUUCCUUGGCUCAUAGUUCUGCCAUCAAAACUAGCAACAUGAAGCCAAGUAUCUUUUACACUGCCAUCUUUUGCUAUUUUGAAUUUCCCCCUUAAUUUUUAAGGUGACUUUUGAUUACGUCAAGCCCACCUGUCAUGUGUAGACUAAGUUUAUCUUAAUAUUCGGUGCAUAAUGACAUUAAUUCUCCUUUACUGUAUAACCUAGCCUGGUUCACAGGUUUGGAGAUGAAGAAAAAAAUAUUCUUUAGGAGCCAUUAAAAGGUAGCUUACAGCAGAGCUGAAGGAACUCAUGGGGAAAGCUGCUACUGUCACUGGCUCCAUGAAAAGCGAAUUUGAGCCAGUGCAUGUCUCCUGAGGGCUCCCUACUGGAGCUCGUUUGAUAAGUUAUGUCCAAUGCAGGUUUCGCCAAGGCAAAGAAGGAGGGCCACAUCUUUCUCGUAGCCUUGCCUCAGGCACGCAUGGCUAGGAGCUAAAUCCCUAUUGAAAGAGAUUAACGUAUUUACUACUAAUUAUGAGUACUAGCUUGUUGGCAUUACUGACCCUAAGUAGACAGCUAUAACCUUUAGAUAAAAACAAAUUUGUACAAACUGAAGUCAUUGCCAGAUUCAAAACAAUAUGCCCAUUAUUUUAGAUGCAUUAAAAUAACAUUUCUCUUUCUGCUGUAUGGAAAACUAGACAAAUAGUUGUUUCUUUUAUUAUUACACGGGGCCAUCUUCCUUCAAGUGUCUAAUGGACUUUGAGCAUAUGCCUCCUUACCCAUGGUCCUUCCCUUCCACUCUUGAGCACUUUCCUCCUGUUUUCUUUUCACCUGUACAUGCAUGAUUUUAUGUGUUUGCAAAGGUCACACCUAGGAAUUAUAGUGGUGAGAGUUUACUCACUGCUGCUGACCUCAUUGCCUUGUGUGAUUAUUUCUUGUUGUAUUUGUCUUCGUGGCUAUGUAAUCAUUCCAUUCUCUGUGCUUGAAAAACCUUCCACUAGGUACACAAGCACAUUUGAUGGAGGAAACUGACAUACUGAGACCAGCCAUGCCAACCGCUAAGCAGGUGUUUCUCUUUCUUGGUGCCUUGUUGCUUAUGCACUUGGAAGUAAACAGCAGCAUCAUGGUACAUGGGCCCAGCAUCCUUGAAAUGAACAUGCAUGUAAGAUAUUGCUGGAUGGCCAUCAAAGCCUCUUGUACAUUCUAAUUUUUCUCUCUCUCUUUCUCUUUAAUUGUCUUUAACCUUGUAAACAAAGCCUAAAUUUAAAAAUAAUUAAAAUUUUGGAGAUUACAGCACCUAUAACUUAUCAUGACCAGGUCUUCUCCUUUAAUAAUGUGUAAAUACAUUAUGAUUGAAAUCAACACUAAAUAUGAUCAAAUUAAAUAUUAUGAGGAAUCAUUAAUACAUCUACAGAAUAUUAAUAGACAUCCCUCUGUACACAAAUGAGCAUUGCUUAGUGCCAGCAAUGCUAACACUACUAAAAGCCAUUGCAUUCACUUCCUUUGAAUAAUAAGCAAAACCUGCUAAAGACCUACACUUUAUUUUAAUUAUGUAUUUGCCACGCUUUCAUAAUUAGGAUUUGGGAUCUAAUCAAAGUCCUUUUGUGUUUGUUUGUUUAGGUCUUUUGUAUGAGUGACUACCUAAUAUAUAUCAAAGGUUUAUAAUAAUUUUCACUUCAGAAUUUUAUUAAACAAUAAAAAACCCUCUUAUUAAAAAUAGGAACUACUAAAUAUAUAGCUAGAUUGCCCAGGGACAUAGAGAAAUGGUAACGUCUCUAAGCAUAAUAUUCCCAUGCUCAGUGGUUAAGAAUGACAACAACACGUUCCCUGGCUGCCCCAGAUUAGCCACAUUGGAAAAGAUCUGUAGAGACAUAGACCCCUUUCUUAACACUUGCAUCAGGAUAUUACCCACUGCAAAAGGGCUUUUAAAACCCUUGUUCAAUUCAUACUGAAAUAAUCCACUUUAUCCAUAUUCUUGAGCUCACGUUUUUAUAGCAGCCAUGGUUUCAAUAACACAUCCAGGCUCAAAAAUGGAGAGUCAUCGUAGCAGUCAAUUUAAUGUAAAGAAAAAAUAAAAUGAAAAAUACUAGAAAAAAAAACAAUUUCAAGCUUAAGUCUCUAAACAGUGUGUACUAACUCUAAGAAUAUUACCUAAUCUUUGGAACCACUAUUAAACUUCCCUCUAUGAUGAAGAAGUGAUUGUUUUAAUUACUACUGCAAGUGCAUCUAAUAUACAGUUAGCUAUGUAAAACUGGUUGUUUCUGUCAGACAUGUCCUAACACAGUUCGCUCUUUCCUAUAGAUUAGAUUACUCUUCAGUGUUUGGAUUUAGAAUACUCACAUCUCACCCAUUUGCCGAAGUGUGCAAAACAUUCAGGAGGAGAAAAGCCCAGCUGUAAAAUCAAGGUUUCCGGACCAGGCUAUUUCUAUUCAUAGCACUGAAAAUGGGACAUGAUACUAGCUAUUGCCGAAAAGCCACUCCAAGAUGUUCACAAAGUUAUACAAAUAUAGACUGAUGUUUUCUCAAUAAGGAGAGAUGAAUUCAAGGACAAGUAUAAGAAAUCUCACAUAAAGCAGAGAAUGCCAACCCUGGAAGAAGAGCUGAUUAUCAUGCCUUUGACAGGAACAGUAGCUAUGAAUCACAGAACCUAUUAACUUGAACUCUCAAACCCUCCUUGUCAAGCUGCCAGCCCAUGAAGAAAUCUUCCUCUAGCAUGGCUUGCAGUUAGGAAUGAAAUAAGUCUCCAUUCUUUUACUGCUGCUGCUGAAGACCAAGCAAACACUCAUCUCAUCGUGUCUCAGUGACGCUAAUUGUCCAAAUGUGUGAGUGAAGGAGGAACCACGUUUGUAAUUCACCAUCUCGUGGAUUGCGUUGAAUACUGUUAUUGAAAUCGUUUUGAAGGCAGCACCUGUGUCCCAUCUUGGGCCUUCACUUUUCAAAAAUUAUGUCUUUAGAGUGGGUAGGGUGGUUCAGUGGACAGCAUGCUUGUUGUGUAAGCAUGAGGGCUGGAGUUUGGAAUUCCGACGCUUGCAUGAAAACCUGGGCAUGUGUAGCAGCCAUGUGUAUUGUCAGCAGUCAGAGAUGGUAACAUUGGUUCCCAGGCAGGCGGACCAGCUAGGCUGAGAAUGAACAAGUUCUAGCUUAAGAAAAAGAUGCUGGCAUAAUGAGUAAAGUGGGAAAAUGAUCUAGAAAGGCAUUCUAAACCAAGCAGGGCCUUUGUAUGUUCAUGCACAUCAACUCAGGUGGAAGUGUGAGCAUAAGGAAACAGACUCAGAGACAGGUGUUUCUACGCCACAAACACAACUAUUUUUUUUUUCAUUUUUGCAUGUGUCUUCUAUGGCUACACUACCUUGCUAUCCUCUGUCAUGCUGCAUGCUGUCUUCUUUAUAACUUGCCCUGUCUUGUUGAAGACAAAUACAGAUAAAGUUCAGUCGUAAAACACAUACCAUCUAUAAAUAAGCGGAAAAUCUUAAAACCUCAGAGCUUGCUCUUUGAUAGAAUUUGGGGGUACCUAAGAUAUUGGAGUUCUUCAUUGUCCUUUCACAGUACUGCAUGGCAUCAGUUACACAGGGGCAGUUUCUUCAGUGGCAAAUGACAAGGAAUCUUCAACUAUGUAGGAUGGGGAUCUGCUUCACAUGAUGGGGAGCUUCAAUUCCAUAAGAGGUUUAUUUUCACUACAUAGGGUGAGGGGACAGCAACCAUGUAGGAGAGGGAACUUGAACUGCAUGGGAGGGAUUCUCAGCUGCCUAGGAUGGGGGAUCUUCAGCUGCGGGAGAGAAAUCUUCAGCGGCAGGGGAAGGGUUCUUCAACUACAGAGGAGGGGGAUGCUCAGCUGCAUAGGAUGGGAAUGGUCAACUACAUAGGAGAGGGAUCCUGAGCAGCAUAGAAUGGGAAUCUUCAGUUACAUGGGAUGGAGGACCUUGAGCUGCACACCGUGAGGGAAUCUUUAACUGCCUAUUAUGGGAGAGCUUCGUCCUCACAGGACUGUCCUCUGCAUUGUAUGGGAGGUCUUGACCCGUUUAAGAUGCGGAGGGAGAAUUUUCAAGUAACACAGUUGUGUUCUGUUAUUCUCAACUGUUCCAAAUUGCAAAGGACCCCCUUUUUGUUGUUGUUGUUAUUAUAGGAGAUGCCUCCUCCACAGCGGAGCCCCCUAGAGGGUAAUGGCACGCAUUUCUUAUCAGUACAAAAGGUAUCGUCAGCUCCCACACGUAUUAGAGCAGUAAAUCAUCAUCGAAGAAAAGGCAUUGUCUUUGACCCGGUUUACCUAAGUGAUUUAUCUGAACUUCACAUUCUAGUGUCUAAAAUUACUCUUGAUAUUGAGUCUGUAUUUUCUUUCUUUCUUUCUUUCUUUCUUUCUUUCUUUCUUUCUUUCUUUUUAUUUUUUUUAAUUUACGUUGGCUCCCAGGGGUCUCACUGAAGUUCAGGGCAUCCAUUGACCUGCAGGUCUAGGUACAUUAGUGAUGCCACUUCAGGUGUUAGAUUGUGGAGUGUGGAAGGAGAUGUGCCAAGAGCCCCAGUGAAAAUGAAAACUUUGGGGUAGAGUUUGAGGCUUUUGUUUUAAAAGCAGAAAUAUUCUUACCAGGGUGGUUGUUGAUAAAGAUUGCUGCUUUUCUUUCUCUUUUUAACUUAUAAACCAUGGAAUCUGUCCACUGCAGUCUGAAUGCUCUGUUCUUUUCUGAGUUUAAGUCAAUUGUGCAUCAUAUGCACAUGUAAGAUUUGUUCCUGUCUUAUCAAGCACUCCUUCAAACUGAAUAGGAUGGCCGUGGGGAAUAGGAAUUUAUGACCCCCAUAUAUAGUUAGUGUCUGACAGGAACUAGAUCCCUCCUUUUCACCCAGAGCCUACCACUUUUCUUCUAGCUUACACCACUUAGCACAGUGAAGAGAAUUCUCUGCAUUUGUGCCCAUGUCUGGCUACAGAAGUAACUGAACCCUCUGAAAAACUGUCUUGGUUACUGUCCCUUGCCCUGAUGGCAUGCUUAUGAGUAUUAUAAUUUUCAUAGGAGGAUGUGCUUUAGAAAUCACCUUGGAAAUAAUGUCACGGAGAUUUAAUCCAGCAGAUUGGGAGAACCAGCAUCCAGAAAAUAGUGUGGAGUCAGAUGGGCUUUGGAUAAGCAGGCAUCUUCAGCUUAUAAGAUAUUUAAAGGAUUGGGAAGACGGAACAAUAUUGGAUCCAGAGCAAGAGAUUGGACGUAACUUAGGUGCUCUAAGAUACAUAGUCAUAUGUGCUUCUCAGAAUGUGAAAUUGUUCCCAAGAAAUAUAUAAAUGUGUGUGAUGAAGACAAGAGGUGGCAUUAUAGUUUCUGAAAAGGAAAAUGUAUUAUUCAUAGAACUGAAAGAGAAUAUUAAAGACAAGUUUAAUGGAAAAAGUCUACAGAACAAGCCCAAAGAAAUGAUACCAGACUGGGAUGAUGGAUAUACCAAAGGCUUUGACUUGAUCAUUACGUAGUGCACACAUGUUUUGCAUUGUCACAUUGUACCCACAAAUAUAUAUAUCACCACUAUACUUCAUUAGAAAUACAAAUAAGUAAGCCUACUCAGUCAGGAUCUUCCUGAUCAACAUUUCCUAUCAAUGAAGAAAAACAAGAUCUUGUAAAUAACCUCUCAUUGGUUGAAAAACCAAGAACAAAACUCAGAAUUGCUAUGUCAGACAUCAAUCCUCCAGCUGCCAGGGUCAUAGAAUGAGGCUGCGAGGCAGGCAGAAAACAGACGGCUAUAAUUAAUUUGUCAGGUAAAUAUUAAUAUUGCCAUCUCUCUAAGCAGGAGGGUUAAGUAGAGAUUUCUCCUUUUUUUUUCUUGGCCCUUAAAAUGGCUCUGCCACUGUCUGGAUGUCAACUGAUGCCAGCGUGCUUCCUGGUUCCACCAUCACUGCUGCAGGUGUCCUCUGUAGGAAUGGGGGGCGGGGGGGGGCGCCAAGGCCUCGGCACUCUUCCUGCCUCACAGGAGCAAUCAUCUCUGUCCCCCUCAGUGUUGACCUACCACCCUGACUCUGCACUCCACUCCUGUUUGAAAACAUCUUCUCUUCAACAUCGUUAAUAGCAAGCAAUUAAAUUGGCUGGAUUAAUGUAAGGUGGCUGGGUGUGUGUCCCGGAAGUAGAACACGAGUGUAGAUUCUAAAAUUUCUAGUUUUGGCAAGCAGAGUGAAGAAUGUGGCCUAGUUUCAAAAUGUUUAUUGGAAGCAAACUCCUAACUAAAUUGAAAACUGUCCUUUCUGGAAAACAUUUAUAAAAUAUUGACUUUGUUUAUUUUUUGCACCUACAGUACAUAUAGUAAUAGCAAUUAAAUAUUUAGCAUGGAACUAGUAGUUUUAGAAAAUAAAAUGAAAUGUUUUCUUUAAAGUAUCAACAUUUCACCUAUAAGUUUCCAUAUCAUCUCUGAAAAAAAAUGUAAUUAGAAAAGGAUCACUGACAUAUCUAUUCAUUAACCAUGAAUAAAACCGCUCCAGAACUACCUUUCCCUUUUGGCGUUUUGAGAUCGCCCCUCACUGUGAAGCUGAGACUGGACUCAAAUCUAUCAUCCUGCCUCGGCCUACUUGGUGAGAUUGCAAGAAUUUGCCACCAAAUCAGAAUGAAAAGCAACUCUAUUAAAAACCAACCUGGGGUUGGGGAUUUAGCUCAGUGGUAGGGCGCUUGCCUAGCAACUGCAAGGCCCUGGGUUUGGUCCCCAGCUCCGGAAAAAAAAAAGCAACCUAUAAAUAAAACCUCUUUAAAAACACCAGAAGAGUGACUGUGGUAUAAAAAUUCCCUUCAGUAAGUAAUGAGUAACAUUUCUUGAUGUUGAGAUCAUUAAAUUCUAUCUGGGUUUCUUCUUCAUUUUUAAACAUGGAAAACAGUAUUGUUUUACUACUUUUACAUCGUAUGACCAUUAAAUCAAGUAUUAAGUCACACACACACACACAAACACACACACACACACACACACACACACACACACGCAUGCAUGCACACACACACCACUUUUAAACCUCACAGGCAUGUAAUGACUGUUUCCUAAAAUUUUUCCAUGCUGCACUCUCCUAAUCCUCAAUUUUCAGUAACAAAAAGUGGGAAAGAUGGGGCAGAUGAUGUCACUGUUUGUUCCUGAUGUUUCUGUAAUCUUGUCUUUAUCUAAAAAGUAGGGGUAUGAACAUUCCUAAUUGUUAGUAAUUAAGGAAUCUUAUCAUUUAUUUCAGGAACUGUGUUUGGAGCUUAAAAGGCCUUGUGUUAUAGUGCUAGUCACAUUUAGCUUCAUCUUGGCUCCUCUAAACAUAGCAGAAACUUUAAAGGUGGACCUAGAAAUCAUCUGGAAGCCACUGGCAGAGCUUGUCUUCCAAGGGCAUCUUGAGACAUCAGACUUUUGUUCUUACUCUUUGCUCUCCUGCCACAUGAUGCUCUACCAUAACCAUCCAACCUGAUGGUUGACCUCAGUAGAAGUCCAGAAGCAGUGGUGCCAAUGAGCCAAGCACUGCAGUGUGUGCCACUGUGUGCUAAAAUAAAUUUUUACCCCUUUUAAGUUGAUUGGCUUAAGUAUUUUGUACAAUAAUAGAAAUCUGGCUAACACUGGUGAUAUACUUAAUAAGAGUUUAAGUCUGUUCUAGCAUAGCAAAAGGUGCUUAGAAUUUUAUAGAAUCCUGUGUCAAAUUUCAGUUGGAUCUUUAUGAACAUGUUAUUUGAAUCCAUGGAGAUUGAAGCAUUUCUAACCUAAGCUUUUCUUAAAAGUUCAAUGCAUUUUAGAGGGCUACUUGAUGAAAUGGAGACAUACCUUAAAUGGAUAUAUCUAGUUAUUUUCAAAGUAUCAAUCUUUUUCAUAAGGAACACUGUUCCCUAUUUUUUUCCUCAUUUCAUUAACUUUUGAGGACUUUCUAUUCAUCCAUCGUUCCUUGUCCAUGUGGACCAGUUAAAAACAUAAUAAAUAUAUUAUUGCUUCUAAAUCUGUCUUAUUACAAAAUCUCAGAAAGUUUGGAGUGGAAUACCAGCAUGGUGAUAAUGCAUACAUUUGUAUUAUUAGCAUUUUAAAGUACUGUAGCCCUACUUGGGUUCUAUCAUUAUGCUGCCUGCUUUAUUCCUAUGGCUAACUGUCGCCCAAGACCAUGUGUCUUAACUUCAAAAGACCAAGGGCCACUGAAUAAAGCAUUAACUUAAUUCAAAGUUAAAAAGCAACACAUGACAAUGUUGUCAACCGUUUUGCUGGAAAAUCACAACUGUAUGUAUCUACAUUCUUUAUUAUUCUUCAAAUUUGGUUACUCUAUACCCUACUGAAAGGAACAACAUAUUUGUCAAGUUAUUCACUGAGUAAAUUUUUCUGUGACAGCACACAGAUAACGGGAAGUCUAGCGAAGCAACAAACUUGAAAACUAGAUGUGCCUGCACUAACCACACCCUUUCUGAAGUGGCAGAAUAACUAAACUGUGUGUGUCUGCACAGUACUUGGUACUGUGUGAGGUUGUGUUCGCACUCAUGAGCAUAUUCAUGUUUGGUAGGGCAGAACACAUUAUACAUACGUACAUAUACACAUAUAUAUAUACAUAUACAUAUAUAUGCAUAUAUAUAUAUUUAUUUGUGAAGAAUGUAUACAAUACUCCACACUUGAAUGCAAUCCAUAUGCUCAGCCUUCAAUCUGGGUAUAUAUGAUUUAAAGUGGCAUGGAUAGUAUGUUAAAUAUAUGCACCACUGAUCCUGUGUACUUCCGUUGCCAAGGACUGGGUGAGCAUUUCCUAUCAUCGAACAUAACCACUGUAAUGCAAGCAGGCAAAUGAAAGGGUUUCAUCUGUAUCCAGACAGUUGCUCAUAGAAUGUGCAUAUCUAUAGUGCAGUGACUAUGUCAGUUGCAAAAUCAUUUUAUCUGUGAGAUUAUGCAAUUACAUGAAUCCAGGAGAACAAACAUGUUUAAAAUCACUGUAAAUUAGGAUGCGUAUCCUGACAAGGACAAACGGAGCAGCUGGAAACUCAUCCUAGAAUGAGAUUUUAAUCACGGAGUUUUCAUUUAGGGAAGUAUGUAGAAACGCCACAGGGCAAAGAGUUUAUUCUUGCCACAGGCACCAAAACACACAUCUACCCACCCAUCCCUUGAGUGCAUGUUAAUUGUGAGCUCUAAAUGACUUGCCUUAGCAGAUAACUUUGCUAACUGCAAACUCAGCACUAUGGUCUGGUUCAUAAAAUAGACUAGAAUGAUUCUUCCUCCAAGUGUUAUCGACUUGCUUGAUCUGAAGUAUUACGUUUUUGUGGCACGUAACCAUUGAAAGCACAUGUUAGACUUGGUUUUUUGUACACUCACAACUGAGACUUUAAAUUUGGCUGUAUUAACUCUGGAAAACUCUACAUUUUGGGAAAAUUGGUACUCUAUAUGUGGAAGUGUGUGUGUGUGUGUGUGUGUGUGUGUGUGUGUGUGUGUGUAUUGAAUGAAACUUAGUAUGGGGGAAAAGGAAGUAUGGGGAGAAAUAAGUUACAUAAAAUUAACAGAUACUAAUUCAUUAUUCUUCUCCUUCCUAAAAUGACCACUGCACACAUAGUCUCUUCAUUUUUCUUUCAAUGGUUUUGAAAGAGCCUUUCAGAAGCACUGAAUUACAAAGAGAUGAAUUCCAAUUAGACCUAACACUCUUAUUUUCCAAAUUAACAGAGAUGUCAACAGCUAUGUAUCAUGUAUCUACCUGUGGAAGUUUGAUUAGGAAUCAUCACCCAGUUGCUUCCCAGAUACAUUCUUAAUAUUGUGGCAAUUUUCAUCCUGAGUCUGGGUUGGACCUUAACUUACUAGAAGACAAAAGAAACAUGUUAAUGUAUAUAUAGGAAUUUCUAGUUCUGAAACUCAAGUUACUCAAACACAUAGAGAGGAUCCACUAUACAAAGAAGAACCUUCUAGAAGCAUCUAUUCAUAUUAUAGUUUUGUGUCCUAUGCCUUGGAUGCAUAUUUCCAACGGUAUAGUAACUUAAUCUCUAUGCCACUGGUGGCUGUUUACAUUUGGGUCAGUAGUGCACAUGAUUGUUCCACCGCUAGGAAGUAAAUCCAGACCAGGAGACUUCGGUAUGUAGUGCAAUGAUGAAUCCCAGCAAAUGAGAACAGAGCAAUUCAUGAUGGGCUAAUGAAAAACAAAAUAGAACAUUGAAGAACAGUGUGUGUGUGUGUGUGUGUGUGUGUGUGCGUGCCUGUGUGUGUGUAGUAAUCAACUUGAGAGAGCGUAGGGAGCACACACUGAAAGUAUGGGAAGGGAUAUUGUAGUGUGGAAAGGAUAUAAAUAUAAUACUAAUGCAUGAGAUUCUCAAGAAAAUUAAAACAGUACAGGUCUUCCAUUUUUAUGAAUGUGUAACAUUCUUCAAUAGGAAAUUGAAAAUUUACAUUUUUACGAAUUUGGUUAAGAGAAAUAUUUGGAACCUCAAGAUGUUGGCUAUUUUAGGUUUCUUAGAGAAUGAUGACCUGUAAUUCAAGGAGAACCAAUGAAGCAAUAUUAAUUAAGGUGUGUUGCUAUUAGCAUAUAACAUUUGUUGUGUAUGGAUUGUAGUUUUGUUGUUGUUGUUGUUGCUGCUGCUGUUGUUCUGUUUGCUUGCUGUUGUAGCUUCCUUGAAAUACUUUGUCUAUUGAAUUAAUAGAAAAGUUCAGAAAGGAAAUUAGAUAACUUUCCUUUUUUUAGAUCCAAUAACAAACAAACAGAGAGCACUAACAUGAAUUGGACAACUGUUAGAAGGCAGAGAGCAAGCAUGAAAGUCUGUGGGUGCUAAGGUUGCUACAAGGGGAUUCUGUUCCUAUGGAAAUAAUUGUGGGUUUAGGAGAACAGUUUCAUGCCCAGAUACAUUAAUCCUUGAUGGAAACCAGCAACAUAGUAGAAGUCUCAGUCACAGCCCACACUGUUUAAUUAUAUUUGGUUGCUUUAUGUCAGAAGUCCCAGGCUCUAGUGAUAUUGACAGAUUUGGAGAUUUGUUUUAGGACAUCAUUCUCAAAACUUUCUUGAGCCCACAACACAUUAGAAAAAUACCUUUGCAACAGAAAUCUAGGUCUUUUCAAUUAAUUAAUUGUUACUCCUACUGUUCUACAUUCCAUAACUCCUCCUGCCCUGCUUCCAUUCUUCACUGUUGUCUCCACAAGGAUGUCCCCACCCCACCCACACUACCAGACCUCUAAACUCCUUAGGGCUUUCAGUUUUUUGAGAGUUAGGUGCAUAUUUUCUGACUGAACCCAGACCCAGUAGUCCUCUUCUGAAUAUGUGUUGGGGUCCUCAUAUCAGCUGGUGUAUGCUGCUUGGUUGGUGGGCCAGAAUCUGAGAUCUUGGGGUCCAGGUUAAUUGUGACUGCUGGUCCUCUUACAGGGUCAUCCUUCUCCUCAGCUUCCUCCAGCUUUUCCCUAAUUCAACCACAUGGGUCAAUAGCUUCUGUUCAUUGGUUGGGUGUAAAUAUCUGCAUCUCAUUAUUUCAGCUACUUGUUGGAAUAUCUGCACAUAGAAGAAUGCAACUAGAUUAGUAUUUACUACCCUGCACAAAACUCCAGUCCAAAUGUAUCAACAUAAAACGGAAAAACACACUGAACCUGACAGAAGAAAGAGUGGGGAGUGCCUUGAACGCAUUUGCACUGGAGACAACUUUCUGAACAGAAUAAUGAUAGCACAGGCUAUUUAAUUAAUGGGACCCCAAGAAAUUGAAAAGCUUCUGGCAAAGCCAACAGGGCAAAAUGAUAGCCCCCAGAAUCAGAAAAGAUUAUUAACAACUCCACACCAGAUAGAGGUCUAAUAUCCAAAAUAUAUUUUAAAAAACUCAAGAAGAUGGAUAUUAAAUAAACAAAAAUUCCAAUUAAAAAUUAGGGUACAGAUCUAAACAGAAUUCCAAUAGAGUAAACCAAAAUGCCUGAGAAACACCUAAAGAAAUAUUUGAUAUCCUUCAGGAAAAAGAAGUUGUAUCUCUCCCCUACUGUCUUCUUACUUUUGAGAAUGCUAUCACAUCGCAUGUUGUCAGACUGCUGAUAUACAAAAAGGCAUAAAUUCCUCACAGCAUCUUUAUGUCUUAAACAGGUUGAGUGCUUUGAAGUACUAGCAUUUUUAGUUGUUAAAAUGUUUAUAUUUUUAUUUUUCUGUGGAAGUUAUUAAUUUAAAUUUCUUCUAUUCUUUUUUUUUUCUAUUCUUUUUUUCGGAGCUGGGGAUCGAACCCAGGGCCUUGUGCUUGCUAGGCAAGCGCUCUACCACUGAGCCAAAUGCGAGGGUUGAAAAGGACUUGAUUGAGAGGUGUAUAGUGACCAGGCAGUGAUGGUGUGCGCCUUUAUUUCCAUCACUAGAAGGCAAAGAAAGAUACACCUCCGUGUUAGAGGCCAACUUGGUCUACACAGUGAGUUCUAGGACAGCCAAGACUCCACAGAGAAACCCUGACCCAAAAAGAGAAGAAUAAAAUGAAAAUGUAGUGUUGUUUUCUAUCAUUAAAAGCAAACAUUGUCAUUUCAAUUAUGAGUCUCAGUUCCCCCAGAACAUGUCCCAGUUCAUGGGGGAAAUUCACAGUCAAAUAGUGUAUAUAUCAUGUUAUAUCUAUGCAGAGGCAGUCAAAUAUUUAGAGCACAUACCCAGCAGUGUGCACUUGAGUUUCUUAUGUCUGGAGUAUCCAGUUCUACUUCAAGGAAGGACUGUGUAAAAUGAGAUUGCACUUGACACUUUCUGCCCUCAUCUGGUCUUCUAAAGUAUGGAAGAAGCAAGAGGAUCUAAGGUUUAAGAAGGAAUUAUGCUAUAACAUGCAGGCUGGUCCUACAGAUGUUGGUAAGAAUCAGGAAGCUGACUCUUAAGAUUUGUAAGUUCUAUAAGCAAAACUUAGACAAAGAGCUCAUUUGGAAGCCAUCCCCCUCUUCCCCUAGAGAUCCUACAAGGUCCUAGAUCGCCUCUGUUCUUUUUGAGGAAAGCAGUGUCUAAACUGUGUCAGAGCUAUCUCAUGGGAUUCAGAACUGGCUGUGUGCUUUGUAAGCCAAGCAAAGGCAAUGUGAUCAAGCAAAAUAAUUUUAAUCAAUUAGCGAGUUGACAGAGAUGGGGAGACCAAAGUUGAAUCAAGUGAUAUAGUGAAAUGGCUGUGUAGCAUGUACAGUGUAUCUCUGGGCUACAUCACUGGUACCCAGUAAACCUGGAGUCGUGGCACAUUGAUAAAAUCACAGUAUUUGGGAGGUCCAGGAGGAUCAGAAGUUCAAGGCUAUUCUUGGUUACAUAAGGCCUUCAAGGACAAUGUGGAUGUCUGUGAAUGUAUGUAUGAAUGAAGGAAGGAAUCAGUGUGUCAUUAAGUUCUCAGUAAAUUAUGUACUCUCUGAAACAAAUAUGUCUCCGAGAAAGGGGAGUGAAGAUUCACAAGACAGACAUUUGCUUCCAGUUGUUAGUAUGGUGAAAUCAUUUUAUAUGGUUCUUUUAUUGUCAUAUUUUAAAUUUUACAUUGCUUUAUUCGAACCUUUUCUUCACUAAUUCAUUGUGGUUAGAUCAAUGAAUAACUAAGAAAUCUUAGAAUUUUGAAUUUUCUGAAAACUAGGAAUUAUGUUUUGCCCAAGUAAGCACAUAAACAUGAGAGAAAGAAAUAAAGCGAAUUUUAAACAAACUUUCCUUUUUAUUAAAUCAGAAACUCUUUUUCCUUUAAAGCUCAGUUGCUAUGUUUGGCAAUUAACAUAAUGCAGACUACCUGACAAAACCAUUAUUCAGUCUGCCUGAAUUAACCAAUACACAGCAUGUCUGACAUAAUCUAUAUACAAAAUGCCUGAAGUAACCAUUAUCUUGCCUGACUGAAAUAACAUUCUUUCAUUGUUGUUACAGAACCUAUUAUUAUAGGAUUUUUCUAUUUAAAUCAUUAUAAAUAAUGAGCAAAGUGGGAAACUGUACUUUUGCUGCCAUUUAAUGAAUCCAAUUUAAAGUACUGCCACACUCUAUAGGGAUGUAAAGAUUAAGAUCAAAUUUUCUAGCCAAGUAGAUACUGUCAAGAGGUACUGGUCAGGGAGACUUGUCUGAGGGUUUGCUUUGUAAAGAGAAAAGAAUAAAGGCCUGUCCUACUUUG